UAGUAAGACAAAUUGUCCAGAAUCUUUCCAUGUCCACAAUAAUGAACAGUUCUACUCAACUCAUCCAAUUUAUUUUUUGAAUAUAUAUUUGAAGAGCAUCAAUUAACAACAGUCGGCGAAUUACAUUAAGAUUCGUUCUUAUGAUGAACAGACACCCCAGUCAAGAAUUGAGAAAGAGAAACUUUAUUAUUUUUUUGAAAUGUUGGCGCCAUACCAGUCAGAACAGAUAACAAGGGCUAAAUUUGUUCUCUCUUUGGACAUC
rnacentral:lncRNA from 1 species